UACGUAGGGGGCUAGCGUUGUCCGGAUUUAUUGGGCGUAAAGAGCUCGUAGGUGGUUCGGUAAGUCGGAUGUGAAAUCUCCAGGCUCAACCUGGAGGGGUCAUUCGAUACUGCCGUGACUAGAGUUCGGUAGGGGAGUGGGGAAUUCCUAGUGUAGCGGUGAAAUGCGCAGAUAUUAGGAGGAACACCGGUGGCGAAGGCGCCACUCUGGGCCGAAACUGACGCUGAGAGCGGAAA
rnacentral:rRNA from 1 species